rnacentral:rRNA from 1 species
UACGUAGGGGGCAAGCGUUGUCCGGAAUCAUUGGGCGUAAAGAGCGUGUAGGCGGCUCGAUAAGUCUGCUGUGAAAGUCCAGGGCUCAACCCUGGAAGGCCGGUGGAAACUGUCGGGCUAGAGUCCGGAAGAGGCGAGUGGAAUUCCCGGUGUAGCGGUGAAAAUGCGCAGAUAUCGGGAGGAACACCAAUGGCGAAGGCAGCUCGCUGGGACGGUACUGACGCUGAGACGCGAAAGCGUGGGGAGCAAACAGG